rnacentral:lncRNA from 1 species
AAUUAUCCAGUUCCUCUCUGCCACGCACCCACCAGGUGUGGAAAGUGCCGGCGACACUGAGAUGGAACGAUUUCAAAAAGGACGCUGACCUCCAUGGCCUGUUCCUUGCUUUCUGAUUUACUUUCUUCAGGCUCAGUGCAAUGAGAGUCCCCCAGUACGAGAAAAGCAGAGUACAGUUAAGUUUUUCCUCGAGUCUCAAGGAGUUCCACACAUGCUUUAUCUCGUUUGCUGCGACAGAUUUAUUUUAAUCUCCCAUCAUGCAUUAGCUCCUACAACCCUUUGACGCCAAGAGUCGCCUCUGAAGACAUAUAGUGACGAUGAGAAGCUGUGUGAUGUUUUGAGGAUUCAUGGGGAUAUGAAUUAUGAAUUGAAGACAUCCUAGUUGGCAGGAAAUUCACAUGGAUUUAACUGUUUUAAAGAGAACAAGCGACAGGCAAUUAGCAUAUUCACAACAUUGUCAAACAGUGCUCUAUUUAGUUCCAAAAUAUUUUCACCACCUCCAAAUAAAAUUAUAGAGCCAUCAAAGAGUUGAUCCCCACUGCUUCUUGUACCAGUUCCAUGGCUUUAACAGUCCAGGACAUUUCACAAGAGUGGCAUCCCGGCCUUUUCCUGUCCUGAUUCAAGGACACAGUAUGUCUUCUUGAGAUACUUUUGUGACAUAAAAUAUAUCUGCAUUUCGCUGUUUUACGCAGUGCUGCGGUUUAAAUCUGAGCUGUCCCCUAUGAGCUCACAGUUAGACACUUUGUUCUUUAGCUGCUACUGAUGUGUUUGGAAGGUGGGGCUAGCUGAGGGAUCAUUUUGAAGGCUGUAUCUGUUAGCCGUUGACUUGCCUCCUGUCCACCAGGGUGUGAGCAGCCGCUGCCCCUGUGAUCCCCCUGUCAUGAGGAUCUGCCUAACCCAGGUACUAUAGCGACCCCUUGGAAACAGUGAGCACAACAAAUCCUCCCUCCCUCAAAUUUGUAUGUCAUGUAACUUGCCACGUUAUGCCACAGGUCACUAUUAAGCAUCACCAAGCAACACAAGUUCACCUAGCCCUCUAUAGGUGUAAGUUGCAGACUCAGUCAACCAAAGAGGGAAAUAUCAAUGAACGAUGCAUCAGCCUUCUUUUAUUGCCAUGGCUUCUAAAAAACAACACACUGCAAUAAUUUCAUCCGCAUUUACAUUGUGUUAUGGAUUACAAAUCAUCUUCACGUGUUCUGGAAGCCUUCCUCAGGGACACUAGGGGACGGACAAAGCGUAGUUUGUAUUUCUAAUUUGUUUUCGGCUUUGGGCCCCAUUUGUUUCCACGACUAGGGAUGGCACCACCCACAAUGGGCCCUCCCCUCUUGAUCACUAAUUGAGAAAACAUCUUACAGCUGGAUCUCAUGGAGGCAUUUCCUUACCUGAAGCUCCUUUCUCUGUGACAACUCCAGCUUGUGUCAAGUUGACAUACAAAACCAGCCAGUACAGUGUUCUUGUUGGAACCAGCCAAAUAAAUGUACCUCUUUGUCAGCCUGCGAAACCCAGUGUUCUGCCUGGACAGGGGACUCAAACCCGCAUCUCUGCUGCAGGGGUCCUGAGCCGGCCUCCGUGCUUCCUGACUCGUGCGUUGCUCUCUGCUCAAACAAGAACAGUUUAAAUUAUUUUGCCUCAGGUUUUUGUUUUGCCACAUAUCGUGCAUCCAAGGCUCUGGUGGCUCUCAUACAAGCUACAGUUAGAAUGUUUAUGAAGUGGUGCUUCAGUCUCAAAAUCCAGGCCAUUCUCCCACUUAGUGCUGUAGAAGAGACAUUUCACGCCAAUCUCCUCUUUUUACUUUUUAGGCAGUCUGUUUUUGUUUGGAUUUUACUGUUGCUAUUUCCUCCCUCCCAUCUGUUUUAUCUUUGAAAUUAGGAAAAUACUGGAUAGAAGUGUGACUCACUUCUACCUAGCAGUAAGGAAGCCAUUUGCCUUUGAAUACAUUAGUUUAAUUCUUUCUCUGGUUACUCCUUCUGUUACAGUUUUUGUUUGGUAAUUAUGUAUAUUAUAAGACAUACAAAUAACAUGUUGGAUUAGCUUUAUGUCAUAGCUAAACUAUGCUGCAGUUACACAAACUUCCAGCUUUCCAGUGGCUUGAAUUUUUACAUCUUGCUCAAGCGAUGCCUGGUGUGUUUGGGGAUGACUUAGGAUUUCCCAGAUUGCUUCAAUUUUGUGGUUUUAGCCUGGCAACAUGCAUCUUCCAAGGUGGCUUCUGGAAUGAAGUAAGGAUCCUGAGACCUUUCUCUGGCCCUUCAGUCCCUAAGUGUAAUCUGUAAUCGUCUUGCUCACUCCCAGGAGCGGCUACGAGACGGCCUCGAGGCACAGGACAUCUGAUGAACAGCACAAUAGGCUGUUCACAAUAAAAUCAAAGGCGUGACUUGAUUCUGGAAAUGGAUUACCCCUUUUGACAAACUGAAGAUUCUUUUCAAAGAGAACUGAUUCAACAUUUUAAGUUCCCUCCUGGCCCCAGUGUCGCACUCCUGCUCAGAUGUGGAAAUGGAAGCUCACCUUUCCUCACUAUUGAAAGGUGGAAUGAGUUUUAUCACUGACCAAGUGGAUUUCCUUUGAGUCAUGUCUGGACCAGGAGAGACAUGAAGCAUUUAGGUUUGUUUGUUUGUUUGUUUGUUUUCUAACAGCUCACAGCCCCAGCUGCACCUGGGGGGUGGGGUAUAAAGGACAUCUCCUCUGCUUUUUCUCCCCUUGCCUCUCAGUGUUCUGAAUAUACUGAGCUGCCAGCUGUUGGCAUCUGUCCUUGGUUGGCCUCCAUGGCAACAGAAGAGCAAUGUCUUUGACUUUUGACAUGUGAAUAGACUCCUUCAUAGUUUCUAAUCUCUAUAGGAAUUAUUUUGAUGACAAUAUUUCUUAGCUUAUUUGCUAUUUAAAUUUUUUCUGUUUAGAAAAAAAAAAUGAGAAUAAGGAGGAAGGCAACCACUGCGAACAGUCAGCAGAGCUCCAGCAAGCAUUGCCUGGGAAGCGGCGAAAGGAAACAAGAAAGGAGCUAAAGACACGUGUUCUGAUGAUCUUCCAUGAUCAACUUUAUUUUUAAAAAUUUAUAUUUAGCUGAACUCUUGAAAGAAAGGAAUACAGGAGAAAUUUCUGACUCAAAUCUCAAAUUCCAAUGUUGUUACUCUGAUGCGCACUUAUACAUACGGAGGCUGGGUUAACACUAAGACCAAGUCCUCAACUCGGGAGGUCCCUAGAAUUUAGACUUUGGGGUGCUAUGGCAUGAUGUGACCUCAUGAGAUGGCUCCAAGUACAACCCCAUGGAGAUGGUGCACAAGACCCCCUGCUGUGUGUGCAAGGCCCAUGUG